rnacentral:misc_RNA from 1 species
AACGCACAUUGCGCUCCUUGGUAUUCCGGGGAGCACGCCUGUUUGAGAAUCAUUAAAAUUCAAUCACCCUUGUUGGUGGAUAUGAACUUUUCUCUCGCAAGAGAGAAUGGUUUGAAAUUGAAUGUCGGGAAAUCCCUCGGUACAGCUCCGUUCAGGAUUUCAAGCGCAUGAAAGAGUGUUUUCACUUUAUCUAGUUCGCUUGGUUGAUGCCUGCGGUCGCGAUGGGCGAGAGGUUUUGCGAACUGCCAGAUGAGGCAACUCGACUGGUGAUCAUAAGACGUCCGUUGACAGCAUGUCACUGGACUCUUGAACUCUUGGUCUCAAAUCAGGUGGGAAAACCCGCUGAACUUAA